AUACGUAGGGGGCAAGCGUUAUCCGGAUUUACUGGGUGUAAAGGGAGCGUAGACGGCAUGGCAAGUCUGAAGUGAAAGCCCGAGGCUCAACCACGGGACUGCUUUGGAAACUGUUAAGCUAGAGUGCAGGAGAGGUAAGUGGAAUUCCUAGUGUAGCGGUGAAAUGCGUAGAUAUUAGGAGGAACACCGGUGGCGAAGGCGGCUUACUGGACUGUAACUGACGUUGAGGCUCGAAAGCGUGGGUAGCGAACAGGAUUAGAUACCCUGGUAGUCCACGCCGUAAACGAUGAGUGCUAGGUGUUGGAGGAGACAUCCUUCAGUGCCGGAGCUAACGCAUUAAGCACUCCGCCUGGGGAGUACGUACGCAAGUAUGAAACUCAAAUGAAUUGACGGGG
rnacentral:rRNA from 1 species